CCUACGGGGGGCAGCAGUGAGGAAUAUUGGUCAAUGGACGAGAGUCUGAACCAGCCAAGUAGCGUGAAGGAUGACUGCCCUAUGGAUUGUAAACUUCUUUUAUAUGGGAAUAAAACAGGCCAUGCAUACCCUCUCGUAUGUACCCUAUGAAUAAGGAUCGGCUAACUCCGUGCCAGCAGCCGCGGUAAUACGGAGGAUGCGAGCGUUAUCCGGAUUUAUUGGGUUUAAAGGGUGCGUAGGUGGAUUGUUAAGUCCGUGGUGAAAGUUUGCGGCUCAACCGUAUAAUUGCAGUUGAAACUGGCGAUCUUGAGUGCAGUAGAGGUGUGCGGAAUUCGUGGUGUAGCGGUGAAAUGCAUAGAUAUCACGAAGAACUCCGAUUGCGAAGGCAGCUCACUGGACUGCAACUGACACUGAAGCUCGAAAGUGUGGGUAUCAAACAGGAUUAGAUACCCUGGUAGUC
rnacentral:rRNA from 1 species